UCCGAGGGCUUUAGUUCUUUUUCAGCCACCCGUGAGAGACCCUUUUAAUCCCGGUUGGAGUUUCCAACCGGGAUAAAAGACCCCAUUUUAUCCCGGUUGGUGUCGUGAGCUUUAGUCCUGAGUGGUAACACCAACCGGGAUUAAAAGGAUGACCUUUAGUACCGGUUAUUCUUACCACCCGAGAUAAAAGGGUCCCCCAUGGGUAGCUGAUUUUUUCACCCGGGACUAAAGGAUCCCCACGGGUGGCUGAUUUUUGAACCGGGAUAAAAAGGUGACUUUUAGUUCCGGUUGCAAAUACCAACCGGGAGUAAAGCUCCGCGCACCCCCUUUUAUACCGG
rnacentral:lncRNA from 1 species